rnacentral:rRNA from 1 species
UACGUAGGGGGCAAGCGUUGUCCGGAUUUAUUGGGCGUAAAGAGCGUGUAGGCGGCCAGAUAGGUCCGUUGUGAAAACGUGGAGGCUUAACCUCCAGCGGUCGAUGGAAACCAUUUGGCUAGAGUCCGGAAGAGGACGAGUGGAAUUCCGUGGUGUAGCGGUGAAAUGCGCAGAUAUCAGGAAGAACACCCGUGGCGAAGGCGGCUCUCUGGGACGGUACUGACGCUGAGACGCGAAAGCGUGGGUAGCAAACAGG